AAAAAAAAGGAAAAAAAAAAACCCUCAAGAGCUCUAAAAAAGAAGGAAAAAAUUUUCGAAAACGGAGAAGUGGAUAAAAAAAAGGGAAAAUCUAUGGCCCAAACUGCCAUAAAACUUCCAAAACUAAGGGAAAAAUAAAUAAAUAAACCUGCCAUAAACCACCGCUGUUUGGCUGAUCAUCUCAUCUCACCACCAUCAGCCGGACGCCGCUUCAUCGCAUAGAAAACCAAUUCACUAAAUCCCCACCCACGCGCCUACGCGCGAAAUCGACGCGCUCAUCAGAGACGAGCGGCGACCGGCAGAGAGGGCAGUUGAAAUUGAGAUGAUCAAGCCAGCCAUCAAAGCACUCUUUGUGAAAGACAUGGCGGCAAUCAAGCUUCCUGAUCUGGUCCCCAUCCCUUAGGGUGCACAAGCACACCACACAAUCCGAUUCUCCCUUAUUGGUACCAUCGCCUCUACCACAACAGUACCUGUAAGAGAAAACGCGGUUGAGAUUAAGCUGCUCGGCAAGGACGAUGAGGCCAGCGAGGCCAGAGCCCAUUGAACCCAAGAGGUCAUCGUGGACUACGCCGCGUGAAGGGACGAAUCGGGAAAGACCCAAGGAGUGGAAGAGGGUGAAGAGUAAAGAACGGAGAUGAUCGACGCAUUUAGCGAUGAGAGCUAGCAGCAAUAAGGGGAUUGAAUCAGACGAUAAGUCGUUUAGCCGGUUCUGUAAGCCCAUCUUCUUCUUCGUCUUGUUCCUCCGUUGUAUGUGUGUGGAAGGGAAAGAGAGUUUGGGUUUUGUUUUCACAGAAAGGGAGGGUUGUGUAAUUAUUUUAUAAGCAGUAAAUGCGAGUAGAGGCACAAAAGGAGACCUGGAGGUAGAAGCUCGCAGACCUAAAGAGUGGGGGAUAUUGGGUCUCAUCAAACGCCUGUCUGGUGGGUCCUAAAGAAAAUUUUCUUUU
rnacentral:misc_RNA from 1 species